CCUGCCAGUAGUCAUAUGCUUGUCUCAAAGAUUAAGCCAUGCAUGUCUCAGUACAAGCCAAAUUAAGGUGAAACCGCGAAAGGCUCAUUAAAUCAGUUAUGGUUCCUUAGAUCGUACCCACAUUUACUUGGAUAACUGUGGUAAUUCUAGAGCUAAUACAUGCAAACAGAGCUCCAACCGGAGACGGAAGGAGUGCUUUUAUUAGAACAAAACCAAUCGGCGGCGUGUUCGUUCGCGUUCACGUUCGCCGCCCAACUUGGUGACUCUGAAUAACUUUACGCUGAUCGCACGGUCUUGCACCGGCGACGCAUCUUUCAAAUGUCUGCCUUAUCAACUGUCGAUGGUAGGUUCUGCGCCUACCAUGGUUGUAACGGGUAACGGGGAAUCAGGGUUCGAUUCCGGAGAGGGAGCCUGAGAAACGGCUACCACAUCCAAGGAAGGCAGCAGGCGCGCAAAUUACCCACUCCCGGCACGGGGAGGUAGUGACGAAAAAUAACGAUACGGGACUCAUCCGAGGCCCCGUAAUCGGAAWGAGUACACUUUAAAUCCUUUAACGAGGAUCAAUUGGAGGGCAAGUCUGGUGCCAGCAGCC
rnacentral:rRNA from 1 species